rnacentral:rRNA from 1 species
GAUGAACGCUGGCGGCGUGCCUAAUACAUGCAAGUCGAGCGAACAGAUGAGGAGCUUGCUCCUCUGACGUUAGCGGCGGACGGGUGAGUAACACGUGGAUAACCUACCUAUAAGACUGGGAUAACUUCGGGAAACCGGAGCUAAUACCGGAUAAUAUAUUGAACCGCAUGGUUCAAUAGUGAAAGACGGUUUUGCUGUCACUUAUAGAUGGAUCCGCGCCGCAUUAGCUAGUUGGUAAGGUAACGGCUUACCAAGGCAACGAUGCGUAGCCGACCUGAGAGGGUGAUAGGCCACACUGGAACUGAGACACGGUCCAGACUCCUACGGGAGGCAGCAGUAGGGAAUCUUCCGCAAUGGGCGAAAGCCUGACGGAGCAACGCCGCGUGAGUGAUGAAGGUCUUCGGAUCGUAAAACUCUGUUAUGAGGGAAGAACAAAUGUGUAAGUAACUAUGCACGUCUUGACGGUACCUAAUCAGAAAGCCACGGCUAACUACGUG